UGGUGAAGUGGGCCGAAAAACCUGGGACUUCGGGCACAGUGAUCUCGGUUUGAGGGGCAGAGUUUAGGAAGGGGCUUUGGCAUUGGAACUUAGGAGAGCUCUCGUUUGGGUGUGGGAACUUUGACUCGACUCGCUGGGGUGGGAGUGCUACAGCCUGUUUUAGGAAGUAACCCCGAGGUGAGCGUCAAAGUAGCUAGCCUCUCUCCCACGCUACUUUGGGGACUCAGGCGACUGGACUCCCUCACCCCUCUACCUUAAGGAACUCUCUUGAAAGCCUACCUUGUGUCUUUUGCAGAGGGAGGGAGGUUGAAGUCUUGGGUUGAGGUGAUGGGAAGAAGCAUUCAAAGAAGGUUUGGACUCGGAUACCCACAGCGGGUGAGAGAAGAAGCAAUACUUGAGUGGAGGGAGUAGUGCCCCUCCCAUUCAUUGCUUCCCCUCCCCCCUCAGUUCAUUCAUUGAAGGAAGAUUUGGGAAAAAAAGCAGAUUGAAAGUGAAUUGAGCAUUACAAGGACAACGAGAUUAUAAAGAAAACUUUGAAAUGUUUAAGAAUUCUGAUUAAAGCAGUGAUCAGCCAUAUCUCUGGAGAAACUAAAGCAUAUUUUACCCACUUCCUGACCGAGGUGAUGGACAGAAGCUUCUUUACUACAUGUCUUCAGAGACCCACUUGUGCUGGGCAAGGAGUGAGGCCUUGAAGCCUUGAGAUCAUUUCUUGGAGGAGAGGACCCUGACCUCCGCACCCUUGUUUUGGAUUUGAUGGCCAUCUGUUGUUUCUUGCUCCUGGCAGCUUCCUUCCUCUUCCAUAUUCUGUGGUCUCUGGGCCAUGGGAACCUCAUAUCCAUCUUGAUUCAUUAGUUCUCCAUCCUGUCCAACUUUGGUAUAGGAAUUCCUAGUCCUACUGAAGAAGCCCCUCAACCCCAGGGCUGCUGUGGGAUGUAUCCAGUUUCUACAAGUUCAUGCAUUUGAACAGGGAGAGCUUAAGGAAGGCUGGUGUCUAGAUAGGUGUGGAUUCCAUGAGAUUUGCCCUUUAAGCUCUGCUUGUCCCAGAAGAAAAGGGAAGCCUGGAAUGUCCUGACUCUGCCCUUCCAGUUCAGUUUGGAAAAGCAGCAAUCCUUGCUUUAUCCUACCCUAGCCUCUUCUACCAACCUUAUAUACAUAUAUUUUAUGGGUCUAAUUAUGAUGACUACCUACCUAGAAGAUUCAGACAAUGACCUGGAUAUCUGAUGGUGCUCAUGGACUGACUAUGUAUGAAUCCUGACUAACCUUGACCUACUACCUGCAGCUAUACAGUAUACAGUCAACACUUCAAUUUGUAGAUCAUGUUCUGAAAUCCCUGUGUAAGCCACAAAGUGAUAUAGUUAAAAUUACCCUUGAAAUGACUCAUAAAAUACAUUAUAGUAUCUUUAAACAGUUAUAGCUGGAAAGGAGCUAGGGUCUCUUUGAAGGAAGGCAGUCUCUAUCAGAGAGUGAAGAAACUGAAGUUGUUACUAUAGAAACAAUUGAAAAUAAAUUUUAUUUUUCACUAUAUUCAA